UACGUAGGGUGCAGGCGUUAAUCGGAAUUACUGGGCGUAAAGCGUGCGCAGGCGGUUUGCUAAGACAGGUGUGAAAUCCCCCGGGCUUAACCUGGGAACUGCGCUUGUAACUGGCAAGCUUGAGUGUGGCAGAGGGGGGUGGAAUUCCACGUGUAGCAGUGAAAUGCGUAGAGAUGUGGAGGAACACCGAUGGCGAAGGCAGCCCCCUGGGCUAACACUGACGCCUCAUGCACGAAAGCGUGGGGAGCAAACAGG
rnacentral:rRNA from 1 species